UAAAGUGGAUUAGCGGCGGACGGGUGAGUAACACGUGAGUAACCUGCCUUAGACAUUGGGAUAGCCUCGGGAAACCGGGAUUAAUACCAAAUAAAAUCAUAAUGACACAUGUCAUAACGAUCAAAACUCCGGUGGUCUAAGAUGGACUCGCGUCCCAUUAGCUAGUUGGUAGAGUAAAAGCCUACCAAGGCGACGAUGGGUAGCCGGCCUGAGAGGGUGAACGGCCACGUUGGAACUGAGAAACGGUCCAA
rnacentral:rRNA from 1 species